rnacentral:rRNA from 1 species
AGUGAACGCUGGCGGUAGGCCUAACACAUGCAAGUCGAACGGCAGCACAGUAAGAGCUUGCUCUUACGGGUGGCGAGUGGCGGACGGGUGAGGAAUACAUCGGAAUCUACUUUUUCGUGGGGGAUAACGUAGGGAAACUUACGCUAAUACCGCAUACGACCUACGGGUGAAAGCAGGAGAUAUUCGCACCUUGCGCGACUGAAUGAGCCGAUGUCGGAUUAGCUAGUUGGCGGGGUAAAGGCCCACCAAGGCGACGAUCCGUAGCUGGUCUGAGAGGAUGAUCAGCCACACUGGAACUGAGACACGGUCCAGACUCCUACGGGAGGCAGCAGUGGGGAAUAUUGGACAAUGGGCGCAAGCCUGAUCCAGCCAUACCGCGUGGGUGAAGAAGGCCUUCGGGUUGUAAAGCCCUUUUGUUGGGAAAGAAAAGCAGCAGGUUAAGACCCCGCUGUUCUGACGGUACCCAAAGAAGAAGCACCGGCUAACUUCGU